ensembl:miRNA
AGUAGAGAUGGGGUUUCACCAUGUUGGUCAGGCUGGUCUCAAACUCCUGACCUCAGAUGAUCCACCCACC